AAAACCAAGUUGGUUCUAGUAAUAUUUAAAUUUCAUUAUCAGGGAAAAAUAUUUUCUUUUCCUAAAGUCUCAAAAUAUCUCUGAGAAUUCAGAGAUAAUAUGCUUGCUGCUCCAUAGAAGGUGGCUAUUCUUUAACUUGCAUCAGCCUUCCUCAUUUUGACCAUGCCCCCAGUGCACGUACACACACCACACCGUACCAUGAAAAUUAACAAGGGAAAAAUGGCCUGAAUUUUAUUUUCUGGGAAUGGUGACAUUCAAAUGAGUUAUAAAAUAUGCAAAUAUAUUUUAGAUUCCUGGUGCACAAAUCCAUAACAUUUUCUCCUAGGUUGAUAAUAUGGUCAUCAAGUUCUUGGGUGCUGCAUUUUGUACAGUCAACUCUUGCAACGCGAGAGAACCAUCAGCCACUUGGGGACAUGGAGAUAUUAAUGAAAAAACCAAAGAAGGCAUUGCAGAGGGAAAGUAAUUUGAUCACAAAAAAUGAAAAUCUGCCAUGAACCUACAUUGAGGUGACAAGAUAGUCUGGAGAGCACUGAACAGAAUAAAGGGAGCCUGACGGCCGUACUCCUACAUACUGUUUCCAGUUUGGAAAUUCAACCCAAGAGACAUUUAUUGAGGGUCUGCUGCAUGUGAAGGAAAACAGGCUGCCGUUAUUGAACCCCUCCUGUGUGGUGAAGAGCUUUGUUGUUCGAGAGUGUGGUCACUGUCUGGCUUGGAGCCUGUUGAGCUGGAGCCUGGAGGACAAUAGGACAUCCUUGGGCAAGAUUGGGUAGGUUUCGGUGGUGGUGAUCCAAGGGAGGGAACAGCAAGAGAAAGGCUCGGAGGUGAGACAUUCUUUGGGAAGAAUGGGGCUAACAUUUUCCUGGGACAUGGCACGUGUGCAGGGGAAUGAUAAGAGACUGGACUUUAAAAGUGGAUGGCCAGGCUAGGGAAUGUGGACAUUUUCCCUGACUGCUUAAAUGUUAUUCAAAUGGUUUUUUAGAUACAUAAUUAUUUGUCCCUCUAAAAUUAUGAAUAUUUGAAAGUGUGGUAUUGUCUUUUCCUUCUGAGAGUGAGCUGACUUAGUGCUUACAUGUUUUUAAAAUAAAUUUUGUUGAAAUAAUUACUUUGAGUCUAGUUUCUUCAGAUCCUCCAAAUGUGGUAUAAGUUUUGUUCCAAGUAGCAACAUGUUCUUUUUAGGAAUGAGAACUGUAAGACACAAAGAGAUGUGCUGAGACAGGAGGAUCCAUUUUUCUCUGAUAGCCAAUUGGAUGAAGUGUUUAAAAAAGUACGCCAGCUCUUUAUGUCUUAUAUUUUCCAUCCUAUGAACGAAAAACACUUCCAUAGAAAUUAUUUUUAAGAAUAUGAAGUCAAAUAAUACCCACGGGUCUUGAAAAGACCAAAUGGGUACACAUAUUGUCCAAACACAGAGAGUAUAGGCCAAGAGUCCUGAAAGUGCUGGAGAGUGUUCCAGUUCAGAGGGUGGGCGGGGUGCAGUGCCUCACGCCUGUAAUCCCAGCACUUGGUAGCAUGAGGCAGGCAGAUCACUUGAGCCAGGAAUUUGAGACCAGC